AGCACAUCAAUCAUUUAAAAAGCACACAUCUCCAUCAUCUCCAUCGCCACAGGCUAGUGGAAUAGAUGAGCCUGGAGAACAGUAUUCUGAGCACACAUCACCAGGGUCCCUAUCGCCACAGGCUAGUGGAGCAGAUGAACCUGGACAAGAGUAUUCUGAGGUA